rnacentral:tRNA from 2 species
GCCGAUGUAGCUCAGUGGUAGAGCAAGUGAUUUGUAAUCACUAGGUCAGAGGUUCGAAUCCUCUCAUCGGCU